rnacentral:rRNA from 1 species
GGCGGCAGGCCUAACACAUGCAAGUCGAACGCUGUAGCAAUACAGAGUGGCAGACGGGUGAGUAACGCGUGGGAACCUUCCCUGUGGUACGGAAUAACUUCGGGAAACCGAAGCUAAUACCGUAUAUCUCCUCCGGGAGAAAGAUUUAUCGCCAUAGGAUGGGCCCGCGUUGGAUUAGCUAGUUGGUAGGGUAAUGGCCUACCAAGGCAACGAUCCAUAGCUGGUCUGAGAGGAUGAUCAGCCACACUGGGACUGAGACACGGCCCAGACUCCUACGGGAGGCAGCAGUGGGGAACAUUGGACAAUGGGCGCAAGCCUGAUCCAGCCAUGCCGCGUGAGUGAAGAAGGCCUUAGGGUUGUAAAGCUCUUUUGGCGGGGACGAUAAUGACGGUACCCGCAGAAUAAGCCCCGGCUAACUUCGUGCCAGCAGCCGCGGUAAUACGAAGGGGGCUAGCGUUGUUCGGAAUCACUGGGCGUAAAGCGCACGCAGGCGGAUUGAUAAGUCAGGGGUGAAAUCCCGGGGCUCAACCUCGGAAUUGCCUUUGAUACUGUCUGUCUUGAGUUCGGGAGAGGUUGGCGGAAUUCCUAGUGUAGAGGUGAAAUUCGUAGAUAUUAGGAAGAACACCAGUGGCG